GUGUGUGUCAGUAGAGUGUGUGUCUGCGUUGUACCGUGAGUUGUACCGAGAGCUUUAGUUACUUGAUGUGGACGAGUUCCAUGUAGUCAUGGCUCUAUGUAGUACUGUGCAUUUCACAGAGUCGGUUCUGGACUUGGGGACUGUGAAGAGACCCCUGGUGGCAUGUCUUGCAUGGGGCUGUGUGUUACCUGUUUGAACAGACAGUUCUAAAUCAAAUCAAAUCAAAUUUAUUUUUAUAGCCCUUCUUACAUCAGCUGAUAUCUCAAAGUGCUGUACAGAAACCCAGCCUAAAACCCCAAACAGCACGCAAUGCAGGUGUAGAAGCACGGUGGCUAGGAAAAACUCCCUAGAAAGGCCAAAACCUAGGAAGAAACCUAGAGAGGAACCAGGCUAUGAGGGGUGGCCAGUCCUCUUCUGGCUGUGCCGGGUGGAGAUUAUAACAGCACAUGGCCAAGAUGUUCAAAUGUUCAUAGGUGACCAGCAUGGUCAAAUAAUAAUAAUCAUAGUAGUUGUCGAGGGUGCAACAAGUCAGUAACACAAGAGUAAGUGUCAGUUGGCUUUUUCAUAGCCGAUCUUUGAGAGUAUCUCUACCACUCCUGCUGUCUCUAGAGAGUUGAAAACAGCAGGUCUGGGACAGGUAGCACGUCCGGUGAACAGGUCAGGGUUCCAUAGCUGCAGGCAGAACAGUUGGAACUGGAGCAGCAGCACGGCCAGGUGAACUGGGGACAGCAAGGAGUCAUCAAGCCAGGUAGUCCUGAGGCAUGGUCCUAGGGCUCAGGUCCUCCGAGAGAGAGAAAGAAAGAGAAAGAGAGAAUUAUAGAGAGCAUAUUUAAAUUGACACAGGACACCGGAAAAGACAAGAGAAAUACUCCAGAUGUGACAGACUGACCCUAGCCCCCCGACACAUAAACUACUGCAGCAUAAAUACUGGAGGCUGAGACAGGAGGGGUCAGGAGACACUGUGGCCCCAUCCAAAGUUCGGUGCAUUCAAUUGAGUCGCCUCAUAAUUUAUAAUAAUAUUAAUAAUAAUAAUGAUUUACUUGAUGAAGAAGACAGUGUCCAUAUACUGAGUAUACUCCAUCAAAUAUCAGCCAUGAAAG
rnacentral:lncRNA from 1 species